rnacentral:rRNA from 1 species
UACGUAGGGUGCAAGCGUUGUCCGGAAUUAUUGGGCGUAAAGAGCUCGUAGGCGGCCUGUCACGUCGGCUGUGAAAACCCGGGGCUCAACCCCGGGCCUGCAGUCGAUACGGGCAGGCUAGAGUCCGGCAGGGGAGACUGGAAUUCCUGGUGUAGCGGUGAAAUGCGCAGAUAUCAGGAGGAACACCAAUGGCGAAGGCAGCGCGCUGGAACGGUACUGACGCUGAGGCGCGAAAGCGUGGGGAGCGAACAGG